UGGGGAAUAUUGCACAAUGGGCGAAAGCCUGAUGCAGCAACGCCGCGUGAGUGAUGAAGGUCUUCGGAUUGUAAAGCUCUGUCUUUUGGGACGAUAAUGACGGUACCAAAGGAGGAAGCCACGGCUAACUACGUGCCAGCAGCCGCGGUAAUACGUAGGUGGCGAGCGUUGUCCGGAUUUACUGGGCGUAAAGGGUGCGUAGGCGGAUGUUUAAGUGAGAUGUGAAAUACCCGGGCUUAACUUGGGUGCUGCAUUUCAAACUGGAUAUCUAGAGUGCAGGAGAGGAGAAUGGAAUUCCUAGUGUAGCGGUGAAAUGCGUAGAGAUUAGGAAGAACACCAGUGGCGAAGGCGAUUCUCUGGACUGUAACUGACGCUGAGGCACGAAAGCGUGGGUAGCAAACAGGAUUAGAUACCCUGGUAGUCCACGCCGUAAAACGAUGAGUACUAGGUGUAGGAGGUAUCGACCCCUUCUGUGCCGCAGUAAAACACAUU
rnacentral:rRNA from 1 species